rnacentral:rRNA from 1 species
AUGACGAAUCAGAUUGGUGUUGUAAGUCUGAGCAUUAUCCGGAGUAGCCCCUGUCUCCUUAGCAGCUCCCUUGUGUGGCCAUCCUGUCUCGGUGAUCAUGAUCUUGAGUGUCUUGAAGUUCAGAGCCAUGAGCGCAAAGAAGAUGGAAUCGACCUGCGCAUCAAACAUGUUUGUGUAGACCAAUCCAGUGUUGGGAUCAAUCACGCCCUCGGACUGCGGCGAGAAGAGGGCGUAGUUCAGCGAGACAUUGCUGGGCGAGUUCUGGUAGGCGUAAUAGGGGUACAGAUCGACCAUGAAGGGCGCCUGGUUCUCCACGAGGAACUCCAGCAUGGGCUUCAGGAAGUGCGCAUAGCUGCUGUUGAACGCCCCCGCGGACGGCGGGAACGACCGGGACAGCACCCCGAGCGAGUGCGUGCUGGAGAUGGUGAUCUUCUUGUGCAGGCCGACCUUCUUGAGCGCGGCGUGCACGUUGCGCAUGGCCGGCACGACGAGGGCGGAGACGUUGAUGGGGCUCUCCGUGAUCUCGGCGCCGACGGUGAUGUAGGUGAUGACGGUGGCCGGGUAGUAUGGGAGGAUGCUGUUCUUGAGCCAGGUGUCGACGUUGGACUGGUACUGCGAGAAGGCGAGGAGGUCGGCGUUGGGGACGCCGACCAUGAGCUCGACGCUGGUGUUGGCGAAGGCCUUGAUGACGUCGACGUUGCUGUCGUAGAUGCGCACGUACUUGAUGGACUGCUGCCGGACGAGCUGCGCCACCUUGUCGGGCCCCGGCAGGUCGUCGGCGUUGCGUCCGUAGCAGAUGCCGGUCUUGCCGCCGUGGCAGUGCCCUGCAAAAGCCCCACAUCAGGAUUCAGGAACGCGCAAUCUCUCUUUAUUUUAGCCACCAUUGAUGCGUCCAUUUAG